rfam:Nitrospira sp. SG-bin2 contig1633, whole genome shotgun sequence.
UGUGAAGGCUGGGUGAUCGCUCGAUGCUUCGGCAUCGGGAGGAAAGUCCGGACUCCAUGGGCAGGGCGCUGGGUAACUCCCAGGCGGAGCAAUCCGACACCAGCACCACAGAAAUCAAACCGCCGAUGGCCGACGCGACGGGAUCCCAUCUGGUCGCCGAGGCUCAGGUAAGGGUGAAACGGCGGGGUAAGAGCCCACCGCGGUGGUGGCAACAUCACCGGCAUGGUAAGCGUCGCCCGGUGCAAGGCCAAAUAGGAAGACAUCUGUAAGACGCCUCGCGUGUCUUGCACACCGACUGGCCCGGUCGAGGUCUUCGGGUAGGCCGCUUGAGGUUCGAGGCGACUCGAAUCCCAGAGAAAUGAUCAUCCAAGCGAGGAGGGCAACUUCUUCGCAGGACAGAAUCCGGCUUAUAGGCUUUCACAUCUG